rnacentral:rRNA from 1 species
ACAUGCAGUCGACGGUAACAGGAAGCAGCUUGCUGCUUUGCUGACGAGUGGCGGACGGGAGAGUAAUGUCUGGGAAACUGCCUGAUGGAGGGGGAUAACUACUGGAAACGGUAGCUAAUACCGCAUAACGUCGCAAGACCAAAGAGGGGGACCUUCGGGCCUCUUGCCAUCGGAUGUGCCCAGAUGGGAUUAGCUAGUAGGUGGGGUAACGGCUCACCUAGGCGACGAUCCCUAGCUGGUCUGAGAGGAUGACCAGCCACACUGGAACUGAGACACGGUCCAGACUCCUACGGGAGGCAGCAGUGGGGAAUAUUGCACAAUGGGCGCAAGCCUGAUGCAGCCAUGCCGCGUGUUUGAAUAAGGCCUUCGGGUU